GCCUGGGAAAUUGCCCUGAUGUGGGGGAUAACCAUUGGGAAACGAUGGCUAAUACCGCAUAAUAGCUUCGGCUCAAAGAGGGGGACCUUCGGGCCUCUCGCGUCAGGAUAUGCCCAGGUGGGAUUAGCUAGUUGGUGAGGUAAAGGCUCACCAAGGCGACGAUCCCUAGCUGGUCUGAGAGGAUGAUCAGCCACACUGGAACUGAGACACGGUCCAGACUCCUACGGGAGGCAGCAGUGGGGAAUAUUGCACAAUGGGCGCAAGCCUGAUGCAGCCAUGCCGCGUGUAUGAAGAAGGCCUUCGGGUUGUAAAGUACUUUCAGUUGUGAGGAAGGUGGUGCCGUUAAUAGCGGUAUCAUUUGACGUUAGCAACAGAAGAAGCACCGGCUAACUCCGUG
rnacentral:rRNA from 1 species